UACGUAGGGGGCUAGCGUUGUCCGGAUUUAUUGGGCGUAAAGAGCUCGUAGGUGGUUCGGUAAGUCGGAUGUGAAAUCUCCAGGCUCAACCUGGAGGGGUCAUUCGAUACUGCCGUGACUAGAGUUCGGUAGAGGAGUGUGGAAUUCCUGGUGGAGCGGUGAAAUGCGCAGAUAUCGGGAGGAACACCUAUGGCGAAGGCAGCUCGCUGGGACGUUACUGACGCUGAGACGCGAAAGCGUGGGGAGCAAACAGG
rnacentral:rRNA from 1 species